rnacentral:rRNA from 1 species
AACGAACGCUGGCGGCGUGCCUAACACAUGCAAGUCGAACGGGAAAGCCCGCAAGGGUGAGUACAGUGGCGCACGGGUGCGUAACACGUGGGUAAUCUGCCCUGGAGCCCGGAAUAACUCCCCGAAAGGGGUGCUAAUGCCGGAUAAGACCACGGGGACUUCGGUCCCUGCGGGAAAAGGUGGCCUCUGUAUACAAGCUAUCACUCCUGGAUGAGCCCGCGGCCCAUCAGCUAGUUGGCGGGGUAACGGCCCACCAAGGCUACGACGGGUAGCUGGUCUGAGAGGACGAUCAGCCACACUGGAACUGAGACACGGUCCAGACUCCUACGGGAGGCAGCAGUAGGGAAUAUUGGGCAAUGGGCGGAAGCCUGACCCAGCCAUGCCGCGUGCAGGAUGACGGCGUUAUGCGUUGUAAACUGCUUUUUUAUAGGAACGAAUCUCCUUCUGGUAAAUAAUCAGGAGGAUCGACGGUACCGGGAGAAGGAGCCACGGCUAACUCUGUGCCAGCAGCCGCGGUAAAAC